CUUCAUAUAUAUAUGCAUACUUUUGUAUACGUUCGAAGUUCAAUCCAUGCGCAAUGAAUUUGCGCAUUUACGAAAAGGGUGAAUAAGUGAAAAAAUUUUGGUAAGAUUUUCGGAUAGUUAACUCAACGAUAUUCAAAAUGACUGGUGGUACAUCCACCGAAAAGUCAACAAGUAAUCCUCUGGAACAAUUUGUGCUGCUUGCAAAAACAGCUAAAGGUGCAGCAGCUUUGGAAUUAAUACGUCAAGCUGUAGAAACACCAGGAGUUCAUGUCUUUGGUGAAUUACUGGAUAUGCCAAAUAUAAAGGAAUUGGAAAGUGGUCCAUAUGUUCAAUAUUGGAAUACAUUAAAUUUAUUUGCAUAUGGUACAUAUAAACAAUAUUUAGAGAAUAAAGAUAAGGUUCUGGAAUUGACUCCUACACAAAAAAAGAAGCUUCAACAUCUUACAAUUGUAACACUUGCAACUAAGUCUAAAUGUAUACCUUAUUCUAUCUUGCUUGAAGAACUUGAUAUAAAAAAUGUCAGAGAUCUAGAGGAUCUAAUAAUAGAAGCUAUAUAUGCAGACAUAAUACAUGGUAAAUUAGAUCAAAAAAAUUCUCAAUUGGAAGUGGAUUAUGCUGGCUUAGGACGAGAUGUUAGACCCGGUGAUGCAGGAGUAGUAGCAGAAACUUUAUCUGCUUGGGGUGAAGCUUGUGACGCUGUCUUAGCGUGCAUCGAAGAACAAGUGACACGUGCAAAUGUAGAAAAACAAAAAGCCACUUAUCACAAAGAAAGAAUACAACGAGAUAUUGCCAAUAUAAAGAAAUUGCUGGCUGCUCAAGCUGGUGGUGGUGGAGUACAAGAAGCUGAUGUAGCAGGAGGUAGUUCUAGUGCAGGUGGCAGUGAAUCUGGUAGAGAAGCUUUACCAGUGCUACCAGAUCUAAAGAAAAAGCAACAGAAGGUGAAAUGUCUCAGAGGCAGUGGAUCUACAGACACAUUUUUAGGAUCUACUGCGGCAUUUUCAGGAUCUACAACGCCAUUUUCAGGAUCUUCUACGUCGCGAACUGAUGUCGAUCGGCCGUCGGUGAAGAAAUUGGGGUGAUCGGAGAACGAGUUAGGGUGAUUAAAUUAGAGGAAAACACAUAUGGGGAUUUCGUUCGACGACAUGCAAUUGUCACCGUAGCAGAGAGACUGAUGGUCACCGACAUCGAAGUGAUCCUCAAUGCGACAUGAUUACCAGUACCAAAAUAAAGUGGAACAAAGGCUAGCCAUAUAACACAGGUAGUGUACAUAGUAAAGCCUAAUUAAAUGAUUAUUAUGUUAUUUAUAUUUCAUUUAUUAUAUAAACUGUAUUAACUCUAAUCUAUCUUGUGUGUGCUUUAAGAAAUAAUAAUAAUAACAAUAAUAAUAAUAAUAAAAAUAAAUGAGCUUACACAUAAUGUCUAAUUGAAAAAUUAAUAUUAU